GUGCUUUCUGCCCGUCCACCUCCACCGUGGAAUGCUGCAACGGGAGCUCUUCCCCAGCAGGACCUUGACCUGGAACUUCCCAGCUCCGGUGGUGUCAGAAAAAUUGACCACACUAUCUCAGUUUCUCUUCAGCAGGAAAUAGACUAAGACAUACUACCUCCCUUGGUAGGGGACGGGGGAGUGUAGAAGAAACAACCAGGGGUUGCCUUUAGGAAAGACAGCUGGGGCUUCUAGAAGAAGCGAGGAGGGAGGCACAGUGGGGGAUGAUGUUUGUCUGGACAGCAUGAAAGGUCUUCAGGGCCAUAAACGAACACCGGGGAGGGAUCUGCCGCGGACAUGCUCUUUACAUCUUUCCUGGGAGCAGAGCUCCUCUCAGAAUGUACCGGAGUCCUUGUCCCUCAGGACUUUCUGCUGCUCUUCAGAUAAAGAAAGUCUUUCUACAGCUGGGAGAUCUCAAAUUUCCCGGUACCUGAUUGGCCCAUCGGGCAUAGCGGGCGCUCCUCUGCCAGUAUCUGUGAGUUAAUGAAUGAGUGAAUGAAUGAGGGAGCAUGCAGGAGGUAGGUAGAGAGACCGUUGCUUGGUGACAAAGCACAUGGUGGCAGAUAAAGUCCAAGUUCCCGUCACUGGUGAGGGAACCCCAUCGUGCUGGGUUAGUGCCUCCCCUGGCCCCGCCUGUACAUUUCAGAGCUGUGCUUCCCUGGGGCUCCAGCUGUUGGUCCCUAAGGGGCCCAAGGCCAGAGCUAGGCUGCAGUAGGUUUAGAUGGAGAUGUCUGACCUUUGAAGUCUGCAGUGCAGUUCACCCACCAGCUCUGAUUCUUUUGGGAGGGACAGAACUGGAAAGCAAGCAUUGGACCAGGUCCUCCUGGGGCCGCUAGCUUGGGAAAGGGGCAGGAAGCAGGCAAAAGAAGAUAUAGUUCUCCAGCAGGUCUGGGGGGGGGGGCUUUGCACCAAAAGACUCCUGCACCCUCCCAGCGAGCGAGUGAGGAGGAGGAACUGGAGAGGCUGCUUGCUGGCUGGGUCAGUGAGUGAAUGAGGGUCAGUCAGUUAGUCAGUUAGCAGCAGCUGUUCAGGACCUGUGCUCCACUGUCCACCUCAACCCUGCCCAGGCUGGGUUCUUUUUGAAGUCUCUUCCUCAUGGCUUGCGAAGUCCCUGGUAUUGAGUUCAAAGACAGAACACGGCGUUCUUCAGGAAGUGGCCUUUGUCUAGACCUAGGCGAGAUGGGUUGUCCAGAUGUCCAGCUGGCCCAGCCAGAACAGUGCCAGGCAGAACUUUAUUAAAAAAUAGAUCCUCCUAGGACAUUUCUUCCAUCUUCAUCCACUCUGUAGAGUUAAUAGGUGAGCAUCUUAGCUGGACUAGUACCUUCCCCUUUUCUCAGCAGAUGCAGACUUAGAGAAUUCUGCUUGGCCAACGGAAGGCUGGAAGGAGGAGAAGACGAAACACCACCCUCUUCUCUUUUUGAGAUAGCGUUUGUCUCUAUGUAGCCCUGUCUGAUCUGGAACUCAGUGUAGACCAGGCCGUUCUUAACCUCAUGGCAAUCCUGUCUUUAUAUCCUGAGUGCUGGGAUUACAGGGUGGCUACAUAGACCAGGCUGACUUCAACCUCGUGAUUCUCCUGUCUCAGCCUCCCCAGUGCUGGAAUUCCAGGUGUCCAUCACCUUGCCCAGCUACUUCUGCGUUUAUAUCAGCUCCGUGCCCUGGUUCUGGACCUGCUCAAGGGAACAGCAACAGCCCUUCCAUUCAUCCAACCCCUAUCUGGGAAGGCACGGUCUUUGUACUGGCCAGCGUGCUCAGCUGUGCACAAGGAGAUCACUGUUGCGGGGGAAGACCAGCAGGCAGCGGGCGGUUUAUUUCGGGUUUCUCUGUGGCUUUGGAGCCUGUCCUGGAACUAGCUCUGUAGACCAGACUGGUCUCGAACUCACAGAGAUCCGCCUGCCGCUGCCUCCCGAGUGCUGGGAUUAAAGGCGUGCACCACCAUCGCCCGGCUUUAAACCAGGACUUCUUAACAAUGUCAAAGUAAGUGAACCUGAGAAAGGGUCACAGGCCAGAGGAGACAGAAGCAAGGGAACUGUAUCCUGGAUGGGACCCUGGAGCAGAAGGAGCCUAGUGCAAAAGGCAGGGGCAUCCUGCCAGCAUGUUGUGACAGGGUCAGGGCCAGCCGGGGCUACACGGAGAGACCCUGUCUCACACAAAGCCAAACAAAUGAUGUGACAAAAGUAAUGGCACCCAAAUAAAACACAGAGGAUGUCCUUGUUGCUGAAAUAAAGACUAUGACCAAAAUGCACCAAGGGGAAGAAUGGGUUCCAUUCACAGGUUGCAGCUUUUCGUGGCGGGAAGAUAGAGCGGGAGCCCUCCCGUAUCAGUCAUUGAAAGAAAAUGCUUCACAGACUGGGUACCAGAUGACUCUAGCUUGUGUCAAGCUGACGUGAUCUAAUGAGCACAGACACCAUGUUGAUACUGGUUUCUGAGCUGUGACAAAUGUUGAUAUCAAUGACACAGGGGCUCUGAGCCAUUUGCUUGUUCACCCACUCUCUUUGUUUGUUUGGCUUGGUUUAUUUCGAAACAGGGUUUCUCUCCGUAAACUGUGGAGUCUGUCCUGGAACUCUCUGUAGACCAGGCUGGCCUCGAACUCACAGAGACCCACCUGCUUCCGUCUCCUGAUUGCUGGGAUUAAAGGCGUGUGCCACCCAUUCAUGGCUGACUUCAUGGUCUUUUACGAAGUUAUUAUUACUUUAGAAAUAAUAUUUUGAUUAUUUGGGAAUUUCACCUCAUGCACCCCAUCACACUCGCUUAUCAGUCCUUCCAUGCCUGCCUCUCCACCCUAACAACCGCCUCACAGUGAGAUAAAGCAAACAAACGAAAAUUAUCAUUCUUAAGCCCACUGUGUCUAAUUAGUGCUGACCAUGUGCAAACGGGAGUUUGCAUUCACUAAGGUAUGGACAGUGUAACAGAAGCUAUGUCCUCACAAAAGACUUUCCCUCAGUGACCAUCAACUGCCACUCACUCCUCCCCACCCAUUCUGGAAUUUUGACUGAGUGGAUCCUGUGCAGGCUGCCACAGGGGCUGUGAGCUGACGUGAGCCUCAGACACGCCUCAGACACACCACAUCCAGGAGACUGUUUCACAGUGCUCUUCUUCUCUGGUUCUUACUGUUUUUGUUUGCUUGUUUUGUUUUUUGUUUUUUUGAGACAGGGUUUCUUUGUAUAGACCUGGCUGUCCUGGAACUUGCUCUGUAGAUCAGGCUGGCUUCAAACUCACAGAGAUCUGUUUGCCUCUGCUUCCCGAAUGCUGGGAUUAAAGGCAUGUCCCCAUCUCCACCCCCAACCACAUCCUACAAGCUCUUACUGUCCAUUCCUCAGUUAUAUUCCCUGAGCUGUCCAGGAGGUCGCUGUGGUAGUUUGAAUGUAAUUGGCCCCCAAAAUCUCAUAGGGAAUAGCACAAUUAGGAGAUGUGGCUUUGUUGGAGUGGGUAUGGUCUUGUUGGAGGAAUUGUGUCACCAUCGGGGUGGGCUUUAAAGGUUUCCUAUGCUCAGGAUACAGCCCAGUGUCUCAGUUGACUUCCUGUUGCCUGUAGGAUGUAGGAUUCUCAGCUACCUCUCCAAUACUAUGUCUGCUUGCAUGCCACCAUGCUCCCCACCAUGAUGAUAAUGAACUGAAUCUCUGAAACGGUAAGUGAACCACCCCAAUUAAACAUUUUCCUUUAUAAGAGUUACCGUGGUCAUGGUGCCUCUUUACAGCAAUAAAAGCCCUAACUAAGACAGUCACUGUAGGUGAUCCAUCCACCGUGAAGCAUCCAUUUUCAGAGGGUUUUAGGUCACAGUUUCUUGGGCAUUGUUGCUUUUUGGGUUUGUGGUGAGGCAGAACUUUAUGGGGAGGGGAGGAGAGCAUAUGUUAGAGCAAAGCUGCUCACCCUGGACCACGUGGGGAGCAGAGAGCAAGAGGAAGAGGCCACAGUUCCCAAUAUCCCUUUUCAACGUCAUUCCCAGUGACUUAACCUCCUUCCCACCAGGCCCAGUGGCACCAUAGGAGGCCCUUAACACACGGGCCUUUGGGAGAUGCCAUGGAUAUAAAUGAUAAAAAAAUGGCUUGUCUCUCCUGUCCCAGUCAUUCAUCGAUUCAUUGACUCAUUCAGUGAUGUAUUUGGACCCAUACAGGCCCAUGAAUGUUUAUUUUACGCUUUGGGUUACAAUCCAAUGAUACAUUAUUUCCCGAGUAGGCUAUGUCCUUCCAGUUUUGGUGUUUUCAGACAGGCUCUGCAUACCUUUUGAAUAUGCCUUUGUCCUUUUGUUUAUUUGCUUUGCUUUUUCUUUUGUGACAGGGUGUUAUGUAACCCAGGGAAGGCUCGCCUGCUCCACUCCUGACCCUUCUACCUCCACCUCCCGAGAUCAUGUACCCCCAUGACAGGGUCACCUGCGAUUUUCAACAUAGCUUCUUACUUUGAGGCAUGAUGAAAGCUCUGGCUCAUUUACCUCCCCGCCCCCUCAAGCCCGAGCCCCAGAACUUUGAAUUUCUCCAAGGAUCCCUGGUUCUCUUUGUUGGAAAAUGAUUAGAGACCAAGUUUUGAACACUGUGGUCCUCUCUGCUGCUGGAGUGUUCCUGUCUUUAGGUUCCCCUCACAGACAGAGCUAGACAAUCUACAUAUGUGUUCUGUGGUCAUGUACAUACUCAUGAAUAUUUAUGCAUCAUCGGCUGUAUCUUCAUUAAGUUAAAUGUGAAUUCGAAGUGAGUUCUCCAGCUAAUCUAGUACUUUCUGGCUCGCUCAAUCCUUCUGCUCACUUAAAACUUCCUUCUUCCGCACCCGGAAACCAGGCUCUUGUGGCCAAUCAUCCGUUUGCUUAUUUGUUUAUCUCGUUGUCGUGGUUUAAAUCCAGAACAUUCCCCAUAGGCUUAUUAUUCUAGGUUUGUCUUCAGCCUGUGGCUGUAGUUGAAGAUGUUGGAGUUUUUUGAGGGGCUGGGCCUGGCUGGCAGAAGUGGCUGGGUUAGGAGGGUUUGGUUCACCUCUGGUCCUAGCCACAGUCUCGAGUUCAUCAAGAGUUCAGCAAGAACAUCCGUCAUGUGCUGCAGCUGCCACCACAGAUGCAACUGCUCUGCCAUGCGUCCCUCGGACCCCAUGAUGGACCAAAACCCUGAGCCAAAAUAGCAUGUUCCUCUCGUAGGUGGAUUCCUGUCUAGCUGUCUAGUGUGUUUGUCAUGGACGAGAAAAGUGGCUAAGGAGGCUUCUGUCUAGAGUAGUCUCUGGAUUGUUAGCCUGCAUCUCCAUGAGAAACAACUUGGCUGACUGGAGCCUGGUGAUGACACACAAUCGUGUCUGUCUUUAGCUCUAGGUUUUCCUGUCGAGAGACACGGCUUUUCCAAGCUUGUUGAGCCAAUUUCUUUCUCCCGCACCACUGACAGUGAGGUCACGCCGUUCAGCUGCAGCAUGGGAGAUUGUUUGGUCACAAUUUGGAACCCCCAACAUUCAGGUGGGUUUUCAAACACUUGACAACAUUAAAAUCGAUUCAUUGUGCUGUAAGAUUCUCUGGGUUUUGGAAGUUGCAUGGUGCCAUGUGUCUAUGACUUCAGUGUCACACAGAGCAAUGACCUUGUCUCAAAAGUUCUCUGUGAUGCAUGCUGACAACCUACCAUUCUUCUUCUUCGGGUCCUGGAAAUGGUUGUUUUUUUUUUUUUUUUUUUUUUUUUAGACAUCUAUUCCUACGUAUUCUAGGCUGGCCCUAAACUUUCUCUAUAACCAAGAAUGACUUUUUUUUAUCAGGAUAAAAAAGAUCCUGUGUCUGUUGCCUCUGCCUCCCAAGUGCUGUGAUUACAGAUAUGCACCAGCAAGCCUACAUGACUUUUAUGAGAUAUUGGGGGUCAAACCUAGGGCUUCGUGCGUAAUGGGAAAAACUGUCAACUGAGCUAUAUCUCCAGUUCCCUCUCCUCCUUUUGGAGACAAGGUCUCACUAUAUAGGCGAUGUGGGAAGUCCUUCUGUAUAUGGGUUGCUUUUAUUGGUUAAUGAAUAAAGAAACUGCUUUGACCUGUGAUAGGGCAGAGUAGAGCUAGGCUGGAAAAUGAAAAUGAAUGUUGGGAGAAAGAAGGCGGAAUCAAGAGAAGCCAUGUAGCCUCUGCUGGGGACAAACAUACCAGAACCUUGCCGGUAAGCCACAGCCAUGUGGCGAUACACAGAUUAAUAGAAAUAGGUUAACCAAAGAUGUAGGAGCCAGCUAGCAAUACAUUUAAGUGAUUGGCCAAGCAGUGAUUUAAAUAAUCCUGUGCGAUUAUUUCAGGAGUCUGCGCAGCCAGGAAACAAACAGCCUUCCGUCUACAUGUAGGUGACCAUGUAGUCUAUGCUGGCCUUGAACUUGUGGCAAUCAUCCUACACCUCUGCCUCCCAAGAACUGGCAUAACAGGUGUGAACAAUCAUGUUUGGGUAAUUGAGUGUGUGUGCAUGUAUAACCCUAUAGCUUUCCUUUCUCCAGAAAGAAACACAGGUAAAAAUACAGAACUUAUAGCCAUCAUUAUCUGUCUUCUUUACUAAGCAUAAUAAAUUUAAGAUUAUAUGCUUUUUAUGAAUUGAUAGCGUGGUCCAUUUCAUCACAGAAUCCCAGUCACCUUUAUUCCUUGUAUGCUUUUACCACAGUUUAUCCACUCACGCUGUGAAGAGCGUCCUGGUGGCCUCUAUAGUGGGAUUCUUGGGUGGGGACACAGAGGACCCUGAGGGUUAGUUCCAGGAAACACUUUAUUUGGACUGGCAUUGACUCAGCUGAUUCAUACAUAGAGCCGGAGCCCAGAAGGCAGUGGGGUUUUUUUCCUUAAUACUGUAACACAUCUUCAUUGGCUAUUUUGGGGCUCUAAGGUUUCAACACUUAGGCUACAUGACUGUAACAGGGUUGCCCCUGAAGCAGCAGAAACAUGACAGGGAUGGCUGACUCUGAGGGCACAGGGAUGUGAUAAGGAUGCGCAAGGAACAUUGACAGUGGUUAAGCCAUGCUGUCUCUCCUUUGUUCUGAGAGGACCCUAACCACAUUUCUGGGUUUUGGUAACUAUGCUGUAGAUGUUUGUUUAUAUGUUUUUGUGUUAAAAUAAACUUCAGCUUACUUGGGCAAAUGGCAACUUGGAAUUGUUCCUGAAUCACAUGGAAAAUCCGUGGUUGGUUUAUAAGAGGCUGACAAACCGUCUUUCAGAAUGUCUGUACCGUUUUGCAUUCUCUCAAGUUUAUGAAUGGAACUCCCCACCGUCAGCCUUGCUGUCACGUGGUAUGGUCAAGUUAAUUUUGUUUGUUUGUUUUGUUUUUCAUUCCAAUAGAUAUGUUCUGAUGUGUGUGCAUGUGUGUGCGCAGUGUGUGUGUGU